rnacentral:rRNA from 35 species
AAAACUUUCAACAACGGAUCUCUUGGUUCUGGCAUCGAUGAAGAACGCAGCGAAAUGCGAUAAGUAAUGUGAAUUGCAGAAUUCAGUGAAUCAUCGAAUCUUUGAACGCACAUUGCGCCCGCCAGUAUUCUGGCGGGCAUGCCUGUUCGAGCGUCAUUU